GUGGGGAAUAUUGCGCAAUGGGGGAAACCCUGACGCAGCAACGCCGCGUGAGUGAGGAAGGACUUCGGUCUGUAAAGCUCUGUUAAUGUGGAAAAAUGGUAGUUGGUCUAAUAGGCCGAUUAUUUGAUGGUACACAUAGAGGAAGCACCGGCUAACUUCGUGCCAGCAGCCGCGGUAAUACGAAGGGUGCAAGCGUUGUUCGGAUUUAUUGGGCGUAAAGCGCGCGUAGGCGGACCUGCAAGUAAGAUGUGAAAUCUCGGGGCUCAACCCCGAAACUGCGUCUGAAACUACAGGUCUAGAAUCUUGGAGGGGGAAGGGGAAUAUCGCAUGUAGGGGUAAAAUCCGUAGAUAUGCGAUGGAACACCAGAGGCGAAGGCGCCUUCCUGGACAAGUAUUGACGCUGAGGCGCGAAAGCGUGGGGAUCAAACAGGAUUAGAUACCCCGGUAGUCC
rnacentral:rRNA from 1 species